rnacentral:rRNA from 1 species
AUGGAAAAGAGGGUGAUUUGGAUGGCCGCGCAAGAUAUUCAGCAAACGCCGACCAAAUUAGCUAAUUUUGAUGGGAGACCAUUGGGAACAUAUGUCCACGCCACCCACAUCCACCUGGCAACUGCCUGUGUCGGUUGCCAUCGUCGGUCUACCACGAGCCCACGACGUACCCAUCCGCAUCUGCAUCGCCUUGAGGCCACAGCAGCAUCCCUGCCCUCCUGCCCCUGCUGGCAGCGGCGACCCUCGGCAUAUCGGUGCAGCAACACUGCUCCCAUGUGUUGGCCUCGCUGUCUCAUCUCCUCUCUCUUAUGUUUGGGUCUGAUGUUAGUGUGA